rnacentral:rRNA from 1 species
AGGGUUUGAUCAUGGCUCAGAACGUACGCUGGCGGCACGCCUAACACAUGCAAGUCGAACGAAGUAGCAAUACUUAGUGGCAGACGGGUGAGUAACAUGUAGGUAUCUACCCUUUGGCCUGGAAUAACACGAGGAAACUUGUGCUAAUACUGGAUAAGUCUUUACGGAGAAAGCUUUAUGCACCAUUGGAUGAGCCUGCACUUGAUUAGUUUGUUGGUAGGGUAAUGGCCUACCAAGACUGUGAUCAAUAGCUGAUUUGAGAGGAUGAUCAGCCACAUUGGGACUGAGACACGGCCCAAACUCCUACGGGAGGCAGCAGUGGGGAAUCUUGCACAAUGGAGGAAACUCUGAUGCAGCGAUGCCGCGUGAGUGAAGAAGGCCUUUGGGUUGUAAAGCUCUUUCGUCGGGGAAGAAAAUGACUGUACCCGAAUAAGAAGGUCCGGCUAACUUCGUGCCAGCAGCCGCGGUAAUACGAAGGGACCUAGCGUAGUUCGGAAUUACUGGGCUUAAAGAGUUCGUAGGUGGUUGAAAAAGUUGGUGGUGAAAUCCCAGAGCUUAACUCUGGAACUGCCAUCAAAACUUUUCAGCUAGAGUUUGAUAGAGGAAAGCAGAAUUUCUAGUGUAGAGGUGAAAUUCGUAGAUAUUAGAAAGAAUACCAAUUGCGAAGGCAGCUUUCUGGAUCAUUACUGACACUGAGGAACGAAAGCAUGGGUAGCGAAGAGGAUUAGAUACCCUCGUAGUCCAUGCCGUAAACGAUGUGUGUUAGACGUUGGAAAUUUAUUUUCAGUGUCGCAGCGAAAGCAAUAAACACACCGCCUGGGGAGUACGACCGCAAGGUUAAAACUCAAAUGAAUUGACGGGGACCCGCACAAGUAGUGGAGCAUGUGGUUUAAUUCGAAGAUACGCGCAGAACCUUACCAACACUUGACAUGUUCGUCGCGACUCUAAGAGAUUAGAGUUUUCGGUUCGGCCGGACGAAACACAGGUGCUGCAUGGCUGUCGUCAGCUCGUGUCGUGAGAUGUUGGGUUAAGUCCCGCAACGAGCGCAACCCUCACUUUUAGUUGCCAUCAUUAAGUUGGGCACUCUGAAAGAACUGCCAGUGAUAAGCUGGAGGAAGGUGGGGAUGACGUCAAGUCCUCAUGGCCCUUACGUGUUGGGCUACACACGUGCUACAAUGGUAUCUACAACAGGAAGCAAGACUGCGAGGUCAAGCAAAUCCUUAAAAGAUACCUCAGUUCGGAUUGCACUCUGCAACUCGAGUGCAUGAAGCUGGAAUUACUAGUAAUCGUGGAUCAGCGUGCCACGGUGAAUGCGUUCCCGGGUCUUGUACACACCGCCCGUCACACCAUGGGAGUUGGUUCUACCUUAAGGCAAGGUUUCAAACCCUUGACCACGGUAUAGUCAGCGACUGGGGUGAAGUCAUAACAAGGUAACCGUA